AGGACGAACGCUGGCGGCGUGCUUAACACAUGCAAGUCGAGCGGAAAGGCCCUUCGGGGUACUCGAGCGGCGAACGGGUGAGUAACACGUGAGCAACCUGCCCUUAGCUCCGGGAUAGCUCCGGGAAACCGGAAUUAAUACCGGAUACGACCACGGCCGACAUCUGCUGUGGUGGAAAGGAUUCCGGCUAAGGAUGGGCUCGCGGCCUAUCAGCUAGUUGGUGGGGUAAUGGCCCACCAAGGCGACGACGGGUAGCCGGCCUGAGAGGGCGACCGGCCACACUGGGACUGAGACACGGCCCAGACUCCUACGGGAGGCAGCAGUGGGGAAUAUUGCGCAAUGGGCGAAAGCCUGACGCAGCGACGCCGCGUGGGGGAUGAAGGCCUUCGGGUUGUAAACCCUUUCAGCAGGGACGAAGCGAAAGUGACGGUACCUGCAGAAGAAGCGCCGGCUAACUACGUGCCAGCAGCCGC
rnacentral:rRNA from 1 species